rnacentral:rRNA from 1 species
UACGUAGGGGGCAAGCGUUGUCCGGAUUUAUUGGGCGUAAGGAGCGUGUAGGCGGCCAGACAGGUCCGUUGUGAAAACUCGAGGCUCAACCUCGAGACGCCGAUGGAAACCGUCUGGCUAGAGUCCGGAAGAGGAGAGUGGAAUUCCUGGUGUAGCGGUGAAAUGCGCAGAUAUCAGGAAGAACACCCGUGGCUAAGGCGGCUCUCUAGUACGGUACUGACGCUGAGACGCGAAAGCGUGGGGAGCGAACAGG